UUGAACGCUGGCGGCAUGCCUUACACAUGCAAGUCGAACGGUAACAGGUCUUCGGAUGCUGACGAGUGGCGAACGGGUGAGUAAUACAUCGGAACGUGCCCGAUCGUGGGGGAUAACGGAGCGAAAGCUUUGCUAAUACCGCAUACGAUCUACGGAUGAAAGCAGGGGACCGCAAGGCCUUGCGCGGACGGAGCGGCCGAUGGCAGAUUAGGUAGUUGGUGGGAUAAAAGCUUACCAAGCCGACGAUCUGUAGCUGGUCUGAGAGGACGACCAGCCACACUGGGACUGAGACACGGCCCAGACUCCUACGGGAGGCAGCAGUGGGGAAUUUUGGACAAUGGGCGAAAGCCUGAUCCAGCCAUGCCGCGUGCAGGAUGAAGGCCUUCGGGUUGUAAACUGCUUUUGUACGGAACGAAAAGACUCUUUCUAAUAAAGAGGGUCCAUGACGGUACCGUAAGAAUAAGCACCGGCUAACUACGUG
rnacentral:rRNA from 1 species